CCUACGGGUGGCAGCAGUGGGGAAUAUUGCACAAUGGGGGAAACCCUGAUCCAGCGACGCCGCGUGAGUGAUGAAGGAUUUCGGUACGUAAAGCUCUAUCAGCAGGAAAGAAAAUGACGGUACCUGACUAAUAAGCCCCGGCUAACUACGUGCCAGCAGCCGCGGUAAUACGUAGGGGGCAAGCGUUAUCCGGAUUUACUGGGGGGAAAGGGAGCGUAGGCGGGAGUGCAAGUCUGGAGUGAAAUGCCAGGGCUCAACCCCGGAACUGCGUUGGAAACUGUAAAUCUGGAGUGCAGGAGAGGUAAGCGGAAUUCCUGGUGGAGCGGUGAAAUGCGUAGAUAUCAAGAGGAAUACCCGCGGCGAAGGCGACUUACUGGACCGUAACUGACGCUGAGGCUCGAAGGCGUGGGGAGCAAACAGGAUUAGAUACCCCAGUAGUC
rnacentral:rRNA from 1 species